rnacentral:rRNA from 1 species
CCUACGGGUGGCAGCAGUGGGGGAUAUUGCACAAUGGGGGAAACCCUGAUGCAGCGACGCCGCGGGGGUGAAGAAGGGCCGCGACGCGUAAAGCCCUGUCAGCAGGGAAGAAAAUGACGGUACCUGAAGAAGAAGCCCCGGCUAACGACGUGCCAGCAGCCGCGGUAAUACGUCGGGGGCAAGCGUUAUCCGGAUUUACUGGGUGUAAAGGGGGCGCAGACGGCGAGGCAAGCCAGGAGUGAAAGCCCGGGGCCCAACCCCGGGACUGCUCGUGGAACGGCGUGGCUGGAGUGCAGGAGGGGCAGGCGGACUUCCUGGUGUCGCGGUGAAAUGCGUAGCUAUCCGGAGGAACCCCGGUGGCGAAGGCGGCCUGCUGGACUGCAACUGACGUUGAGGCCCG